AUUGAACGCUGGCGGCAGGCCUAACACAUGCAAGUCGAGCGAGCGGAGGACGGGUGAGUGAUGGAUGGGGAUCUGGCUGAUGGAGGGGGAUGACUACUGGAAACGGUAGAUAAUAGCGCAUACCAUCAGAUGAAGCCAUAUGGGAGUAGAGUGUAGGUGAGGUAACGGCUCACCUAGGCGACGAUCCCGAGCUGGUCUGAGAGGAAGAUCCGCCACACGGGGACUGAGACACGGCCCAGACUCCUACGGGAGGCAGCAGUGGUGAAUAUUGCACAAUGGGCGCAAGCCUGAUGCAGCCAUGCCGCGUGUAUGAAGAAGGCCUUCGGGUUGUAAAGUACUUUCAGUCGGGAGGCGUUACCGACAGAAGAAGCACCGGCUAACUCCGUGCCAGCAGCCGCGGUAAUUC
rnacentral:rRNA from 1 species